AGGUCGAUGGCCUGUCUCUCAUAAUUUCCUUUCCGUUUUUCUUCCUGUGGUCGCUCGUUGAGUGCGGAAAUUCCACGAACGUGAGCCCAACAUGGAGCCGGCGACCCCUCCGGCACCCGCCGCCGGCGUCACUGCUACCAUCGACCUCUCCCUAGUCGCAGCCGACCUCGGUGGGGCGCACCUCCUGCCCUGCGGCAUCAGGCAGAACGGCGGCGCCCCCGUAUCCGACUACUUCAAGCCUAGGGCCACAGGUCCGGAUGGCUACCGAGGUUUUGUAUUGGAGAAGAGGCACGGACAUAAUUCAAAUGCUGAAGUCAACAAUUUUACAUCCCAAGCUGAAUUCCAGAGCAUAACCUACUGGAAUCACGAUACAACGUCAUCAACAGAGGAUUCCCUCCCGAGGUGCUUCCAUUGGCUAACCGUUGCUAAUGCGCAGCCAGCAGUGCACUGGCGAUGGCAAGUAGUCCAGCUUCUGUUAAUGACUAUUGUGAUCCGAAGACUGAUCCAGCAAGGAAGGCAAAGAACACACGUGAUCCUGGUUGGAAAUAUGGGUACUGGACAGACGAUCCUGGUUGGAAAUAUGGGUACUGGACAGACUUGAUGUUGUGACCUGCACUCUUUGUAGGAUCAUAAGACUGAAGCAAGACCUUGCUGGUGGAUAUGAAGAUGCAAAAAUGUGUGCCAAAACAACUACUGCAAUCAGGAAGGAAAUGAGAGCAUACUUGGAAAUGCACAAGAGGAGAAGACCCUUGAGCUUUGAAGAUGAUGAUGGUGAUGUGGAUGUGCUGGAGGUGGUACCACAGGAGGGGAACAACGUUGAUGUGGUGGAGGAGAUAACACAGGACAGGAACAAGAGCAAUGCAGCUGUGGCAGAGUCCCAAGCCUAAGGCAGCUAGCAAUGGGAAGUCUAUUGUCCAAAAUCAGGGACUGCAGCCAAAAGAAGACAAUCAGCAAUGCAAUUCAAGCCCAAGCCUAAGGCAGCUAGCAAUGGGAAGUCUAUUGUCUAGUUGCUUAGAAGAACUCCUGAAGAAGUGGUUGAGCAAAGACACUCGGGGAAGGCUCAAAAAUACAAUUGAGGCCAGCUGCAAGACCAAGGAGGAGAAGCACUAUGUAGAUAUGCAGUGUGCCUUAUGGUUUUAUGAGGCUGGCAUACCUUUUAAUGUAGCAACAUCAAGACAGAUUGAGAUUGCACUUGAGGCCACUGCACAGUAUGUCUAGGAUACAUUCCACCUACAUCAUAUCAGCUUGGGGAGCCAUUGCUAGAGGCUGUUGUAAAGAUGACGAGCAAUGUGAGAAAGGACCAUGAGCGAGCAUGGAAACAUUUUGGCUAUACACUCAUGUCAGAUGGGUGUGCCGAUAGGAGGGGACACCAUUUGAUCAAUUUCCUAGUGAACAGCCCUGAAGGGACAUAUUUCUUGGAGUAUGUUGAUGCAUCCGAUGAAGUGCACAAUGAUGAAAUACUUGCAGAUUUAUUAGAAAAAAGAAUUGAAGAGAUUGGAAAGGACAACGUUGUUCAAGUUAUCACCAAUAACGGUGCCAACUACAAGGCAGCAAUUAGGCUUCUAAUGGAGAGGGUUCCAACACUAUUUUGGAGUCCAUGUGCAGCACAUUGCUUAGACCUUAUGUUGGAAGAUAUAGGAAACUUAAAGGACUUUAAGAAGCCUAUUGCACGUGCCAAGCGUGUGACAACUGAACAUUCAUAUAUAGGCAUGGCAGAAUUCUUAAUACAAUGAGGGAGAAAACAGGUGGUAGAGAUCUUGUGAGGGCUGCAGCCACUUGGUUUGCAACAUCAUUCCUUACUUUCAAGAGUCCGUACAAGCACAAGGAUGCUUUGAAGGCUUUAAUUGUUAGUGAAGUAUGGGUUGGAAACAAGUUGGCAAGAACCAAAGCCAGAGCGGAUGUCCAUGACAUUGUCCUAUCAACCCAAUUCUGGAAUUCAAUUGAAGAUUGCCUAUGAGCUUGAGCUCCACAUCUUAUCAUGCUUAGGGUAGUCGAUGGUGAUGAGAGGCCAGCAAUGCCAAAAUUUCAAGCACUAAUGAGUCAUGCAAAGGAGACCAUCAAUAAGGCCUUUGAUAUCCAAAGCAAGAAAUCUUUGCUUAAGAGGAUCAUGGACAUUGUUGAGAGACAAUGGCUGAAGCAAAUGGACCAUCCUUUGUAUGGUGCUGUGUUGUACUUGAACUCAGGAAAAUCGCACUCUCUCAUUAAAGAAGAUGAUGAUUCUGCUGUUGGACAAUUAAUGGGGCUGGUUCCUUAAUGUGCUUGCAAAAAUGGUGGAAGAUGAUGAAACUAGAAACAAGAUUGAUGCUCAAGCAAGGGACUAUGAACUUUUUAGAGGCACUGCCUUAUCAAAUAAAAUACCCAUACAAAAUCUUGAUUCGGUCAGCCCAAGUGUCCAUGGCUCAUGCCAUAUUUCAGUUCUACAGUUAAAUUUCAGAUUCAAUAAUUCAGUUUCAGCAAGUGUAUAUUUUAUAUGGCUCCUAAUAAUAUGCUUUUGUUGUGAUACUAGUCGAUCGCUGGGGUUCUUAUGGUGGACGUGCUAUUGAAUUACAAAGGUUUGCUAGGCGUGUUGUUAGUCUUUGUGCUUCAUCAUCUAGUUAUGAAAGAAAAUGGAACACAUUCGGAUUUAUUCAUAAGAAAAGAAAUAGGCUGCUCCACAAGAGACUGAAUUAUAUUGUGUCUGUGUCAUAUAAUCAGAAGAUGAAGAGCAGAUUUCAUUUAGACGUGAGAAAAGGGGGGAAACAUUGACCCUUUGGUCAUUUCAGAGUUUGAUUGGGACAAUGAGUGGGCAGACUCAUUGCAUGUGCCCUCUCAAGGUGUUCAUGGGUCAGAUCUAACAUGGGAGCUUGUUGAUGAAGCUAUGGGUGCAGCUAAAGCACUACUAGGCCGCAAUUUUCCAAGGAGAGCUCAUAUGAAUAGCAAGCAUGCAAGGAGUUCUACACAAACAGUGGACGAGGAUGACUUCGGUUCUACAAAUGAAGAAGAUCAAGACCCAUUGACCGUGACGACAGCCCAGAUGAAGCCAACAAUUGGGGGGGGGGGGGGGGGGGGGGGAGGGGAGGAAGCCGCUAACAUUCUCGACACAUUUGGUGACUUUGAGUGAUCAUUUUAUCAUCUUGCAGAGCUUGUGAGCUCAUGCUUUUGUGUGUUGUCCGAUGUGCGCUUAUGAUGUGCUUGACUACAUAUACCUAGUAUUAAUAUGCACUAUGUGACUAUUAUGCACUCCGUUUGUGCCGUGUGUUGUGUGUCUGAGACUAGCAUAUUGUUGUGCACUAGUAUUAAUAUGUUGUGGUUGUGGACUUGCACUAGACUGCUAGUAUUUACUUUGAUGUGUUUGGCUGGUUGAUACUCUUUAAUUUUCACCAAUGUGUUGUCUUUUCUA